GAAACGCGAUAGUUAAUGUGAAUUGCAGAAUUCAGUGAAUCAUCGAGUCUUUGAACGCACAUUGCGCCUUUUGGUAUUCCGAGAGGCACGCCUGUCUGAGCGUCAGUAAACAUCUUCGGCAGCAAUUUAUUUUUGCGGCCGGUGUUGGCGGUGGACUACCUGGGGACGCCCUUAGCAGGUGAAUCCGGGUGCCCCCCCUAAAUACACUGACAGCCGGGGGCAAGGGACCCAACCGACAAUAAUAGCAAUAUGUUUGUCCAAGGUGACCCUUCGCCCAGCCGGCUCCCAAAAAACUAGGACCCGAUCCUGAUUUUUGACCUCAGAUCAGACGAGGAUACCCGCUGAACUUAA
rnacentral:misc_RNA from 1 species